rnacentral:tRNA from 1 species
UCCCUGGUGAUCAAGUGGUUAAGACUGUGCACUCCCAAAGCAGGGGGCCCAGGUUUGAUCCCUGAUCAGGGAA